rnacentral:sRNA from 14 species
GAGCGGCACUCAUACAAUGCCGUGAGUCUGGUGAUUGGCCUGUCCCCCGCCCGCACCAGAUGAGGACAAAGGCCUCAUCCCCCUCUCCGGGCCUUUGUCCCGCUUUCAAAGAGCCGCCACGGCGCAGCCUCCGCGCCGUGGCGGUUUUUU